CCUCCGUGUCCCUGCUCUGCCGCCCCGUGUGCAGACCCGCCUGCUGUGCCCCCGCCCCCUCCUGCCAGCCCAGCUGCUGCCGCCCGGCCUCCUGCGUGUCCCUGCUCUGCCGCCCCAGGUGCUCCCACACCGCCUGCUACUGAGUGAUCUUCAGGUCACCCCAAAGCUGGAGAGGUCACUACCAUCUGCACCCCUGGAUCCUUACUCAGGGCCAGGACAGCUGUGGAGCACUCCCCUGCAGUGGACACUAUGUCACCUGGCCACUCACUGUGCAUUUCUUGUCCUGGAAAUAGCACACUAACUUCUUCAAGCAUUGACACCCCCCAGCCCCGGUCACAUGCCGCCCCCCUGGCCUGGGUUGGCAAUGACCCCAGGGAGGCAGCCAGCCCCCCUCAGGCUGGGACCCUGGUGUGGAGUAAAGGACAAGAAGUCAUAUAGUGGGAAGUGGUUUGUCUUCGCGGCCCCUAGACCCUGGCGUGGCCCUGGCUCCUCCACUGGUUCCUAGCUGCUUUCUUAAUUUUUUUUCCUUCCUCUGUGAGCUGUCAGUCCUUUCCAAUAAAUUCUCUCCUGAUCCAUUAAA